rnacentral:rRNA from 1 species
UACGUAGGGUGCGAGCGUUGUCCGGAAUUAUUGGGCGUAAAGAGCUCGUAGGCGGCUUGUCGCGUCGGAUGUGAAAGCCCGGGGCUUAACUCCGGGUCUGCAUUCGAUACGGGCAGGCUAGAGUUCGGUAGGGGAGAUCGGAAUUCCUGGUGUAGCGGUGAAAUGCGCAGAUAUCAGGAGGAACACCGGUGGCGAAGGCGGGUCUCUGGGCCGAUACUGACGCUGAGGAGCGAAAGCGUGGGGAGCAAACAGG